CGGCGCGUCUAUUAUGCUGCCGGGGCCGGCGAGCCAAAGAGGAGCCGGCCGCGCGGGCCGGGAGGGACGGCCGCAGGAGCCGCCGAGGCCAAGUGCUGCCCGGUUGGGCCCAGAAAUGGGAUGUCAGGCCGCCGAAAGGAGCAUAGUGGAAGCCAGGGCGUCCCCGAGCCGCUGCUGUGACGGCCAGUGAGCGACAGCAGAGGAUGUCCACCAGCACGACGGUCGCCCCCACGGGGAUCCCAGCGGCCCCGGGCCCCGUGAACCCGCCCCCUCCGGAGGUCUCCAACCCCACCAAGCCGGGCCGCAAGACCAACCAGCUGCAGUACAUGCAGAAUGUGGUGGUGAAGACGCUCUGGAAACACCAGUUCGCCUGGCCCUUCUACCAGCCCGUGGACGCAAUCAAGCUGAACCUGCCCGAUUAUCAUAAGAUAAUAAAGAACCCGAUGGACAUGGGGACUAUCAAGAAGAGGCUAGAAAACAGCUAUUACUGGAGCGCGAGCGAGUGUAUGCAGGACUUCAACACCAUGUUCACAAACUGUUACAUUUAUAACAAGCCCACAGAUGACAUAGUGCUAAUGGCCCAGGCCUUAGAGAAAAUUUUUCUGCAGAAAGUGGCCCAGAUGCCCCAGGAAGAAGUUGAAUUAUUACCCCCUGCUCCGAAGGGCAAAGGCCGGAAGCCAGCUGGCGGAAGCCAGAGCACAGGUACGCAGCAGGUGGCGGCCGUGUCCUCUGUGUCCCCAGCAGCCCCCUUUCAGAGCGUCCCCCCCACCGUCUCCCAGACGCCUGUCAUUGCUGCCACCCCUGUGCCAACCAUCACUGCAAACGUCACGUCGGUCCCCAUGCCCCCGGCCGCCGCCCCACCGCCUCCCUCGACGCCCAUCAUCCCUGUGGUCCCUCCCACACCGCCUGUCAUCAAGAAAAAGGGUGUGAAGCGGAAAGCAGACACCACGACGCCCACGACGUCGGCCAUCACUGCCAGCCGGAGCGAGUCGCCCCCGCCGCUGUCUGACCCCAAGCAGGCCAAGGUGGUGGCGCGGCGGGAGAGCGGGGGCCGCCCCAUCAAGCCGCCCAAGAAGGACCUGGAGGACGGCGAGGUGCCCCAGCACGCGGGCAAGAAGGGCAAGCUGUCGGAGCACUUGCGGCACUGCGACAGCAUCCUCAAGGAGAUGCUGUCCAAGAAGCACGCGGCCUACGCCUGGCCCUUCUACAAGCCGGUGGACGCCGAGGCCCUGGAGUUGCAUGACUAUCACGACAUCAUCAAGCACCCGAUGGACCUUAGCACUGUCAAGAAGAAGAUGGACAGCCGCGAGUACCCGGACGCGCAGGGCUUCGCGGCUGACAUCCGGUUAAUGUUCUCCAAUUGCUACAAAUACAACCCCCCAGACCAUGAGGUGGUGGCCAUGGCCAGGAAGCUCCAGGACGUGUUUGAGAUGCGGUUUGCCAAGAUGCCAGAUGAGCCCGCGGAGGCGCCCGCGCUGCCUGCCCCUGCAGCCCCAGCGCUGAGCAAGGGCGCCGAGAGCAGCCGCAGCAGCGAGGGGAGCUCGUCGGACUCGGGCAGCUCGGACUCAGAGGAGGAGCGGGCCACCAGGCUGGCGGAGCUGCAGGAGCAGCUGAAGGCUGUGCACGAGCAGCUGGCCGCCCUGUCGCAGGCCCCGGUGAACAAGCCAAAGAGGAAGAAGGAGAAGAAGGAGAAGGAGAAGAAGAAGAAGGACAAGGACAAGGACAAGGACAAGGAGAGGCACAAGGCCAAGUGCGAGGACGACAAGAAAGCCAAGGCGGCCCCGCCUGCCAAGCAGGCCCAGCCCAAGAAGCCUCCCGCCAAGAAGGCCAGCAGCACGGCCGCGGCCGGCAGGCAGCCGAAGAAGGGCGGCAAGCAGGCAUCGGCCUCCUACGACUCGGAGGAGGAGGAAGAGGGCUUGCCCAUGAGCUACGAUGAGAAGCGCCAGCUCAGCCUGGACAUCAACCGGCUGCCCGGGGAGAAGCUGGGCCGCGUGGUGCACAUCAUCCAGUCCCGGGAGCCCUCGCUCAGGGACUCCAACCCUGACGAGAUAGAGAUUGACUUUGAGACUCUGAAACCCACCACGUUGCGGGAACUAGAGAGAUACGUCAAGUCUUGUUUACAGAAGAAGCAAAGGAAGCCAUUCUCCACAAGCGGGAAGAAGCAGGCGGCCAAGUCGAAGGAGGAGUUAGCUCAGGAAAAGAAGAAGGAGUUAGAGAGGCGGCUGCAGGACGUCAGCGGACAGCUGAACAACAGCAAGAAGCCUGCCAAGAAAGAGAAAGCGGGCUCGGCGCCCUCGGGAGGGCCAUCCCGGCUCAGCAGCAGCAGCUCGUCGGGGUCCGGGAGCAGCAGUUCCAGCGGGUCCAGCUCCGACAGCAGCGACUCGGAAUGAGCCCGGGACUCAGAACGGCACGGAAGCAGCGACGUCGCGCUCGCCCCGACUCUGCAGUGUUCCCUUCUAUGGUCAGAGAUCUUUCUCGUGUGUACGUGAGGCUUUACGAGCAGGUGCGACUCUGCAUAAAGUCUUCGUAACUGAAUCCGGUUGCUCGGAGCUGACAACCUCAGACGCCGACCUGACCGCCGUAGGAAAACCCUGUCACAUGUGAUCUGGAGUUUCUUGCAAAACCCCUGUCGUAGGCCCCACCUGGUCUCCGGCCCCGGAAAGCACUGUUUGGAAGGAAGUUUCUCUGGAUGGUACUGUGUGGAAAGCGGUCGGCUUGGCAAAUAGGCGGUCUUUGUCCUCGGGGCCCCAAGCUGAGCUUCCUCGCAGCUGGGGUCGCCGCUUUCUGGGGGCGCGGAGAACGGCCAGGCUGGCGCGGGCUUGGGGCGGGGGCUGUCCAGCUCC